AGCGAACGCUGGCGGCAGGCCUAACACAUGCAAGUCGAACGGAACCUUCGUGAGUAGUGGCGGACGGGUGAGUAACACGUGGGAACGUGCCCUUUGGUUCGGAACAACUCAGUGAAACUUGAGCUAAUACCGGAUGUGCCCUGCUGGGGAAAGAUUUAUCGCCAUUGGAGCGGCCGGCGUCUUAUUAGCUAGUUGGUGAGGUAACGGCCCACCAAGGCGACGAUCAGUAGCGGGUCUGAGAGGAUGAUCAGCCACACUGGGACUGAGACACGGCCCAGACUACUACGGGAGGCAGCAGUGGGGAAUCUUGCGCAAUGGGCGAAAGCCUGAAGCAGCCAGGCCGCGUGAAUGAUGAAGGUCUUAGGAUUGUAAAAUUCUUUCAGCGGGGACGAUAAUGACGGUACCCGCAGAAGAAGCUCCGGCUAACUUCGUG
rnacentral:rRNA from 1 species